rnacentral:lncRNA from 1 species
UGCCUUUAAACUAGAUAUAUAUGUACAUCAUUGUAUAUAUUUUUGAUUAACAGUGUUUCUGGAUUCUUUAGCUAAGUUCUAUUGCAUUCUUAGCAAAGGGUCCUUCUCAAAAGUCUACCUAUUCAAAAGUCUUGUUUUCGCUUGAUGCUCUUUUAAUUUUUUAUAAAUACGCUAUGAAAGGCAUUUUUUUUAGUAACGUGUUGCAGGGGAAAUAGAAAUACCUAGCGUCUGUUAGUCCUUUCUUUGCCGGUCUCAGUGAGUAUCCGGCUUUUGUUAUCGCUCCCACGUGUACAACUUUUGCAAUUUUUUUUUAUAAAACUAUUCUAUUAUUCUAUAAAUAGGUUAUAAUAGGUUAAUAUCAGCAACAUCUAUGACAAGUUCUAAAAAGGUUGACGUAUUUAAAAGAGUUAUGCCCCUAAGAAGUAUUAUUUUUUUUAGAAAAUGUCCUGUGAGCUGAACAUAUACAUGUAUCUCUGGGUUUUUUUGUUGCUGUCCUUGAGUAUAAAAGUUUCAAAGAAACAAAGUUUCAGUUUGACUUGAGAGUUGAGAAACUAUGAUAAUUGCAAAAGACAAGCAAAAAUUCUGAAUCACUGAAUAUAGACCAUCAAACAGAGCUGCCCCUUCUGCCAAAACAAAUCUCAAUUUUUCGGAAAACAUUUGAAAUACUCU